rnacentral:lncRNA from 13 species
AAAAUGUACCUCUGCUCGGCCACUGCACAUCCGUGUGCAGCAGCAGGUCCGUGUGCUCCGCAGCAGGUCCGUGUGCUCCGCUUCAGCCUCUUCUAAGUGAGCGCGAAAUAGCCUCCGCUGUAGGCUUCUUGCUCGAGUAGAACACGCGAUCUUCAUUGCAACAUCCAUCACCUCUUUCAUGUUUAACAUCUUCCCUCACAAAGCUUGCUGAUGAAUUACGCAGUGAUAACGAAGAAAGUCUGGGAAAGAAUCAUCUUGUUUGCACAAUGCAACGAACCCACUAAUGCGGCCUAGCAUUGGCCUCUGAUCUGGCGGACUCACUAAACGGAUGGUUCGUUUGUAAAUUAUGUCUGAGUGUUGGAGUGUUCCCCCAUCUAGCCGUGCCGUCGGAUUUUCUUAAAUAUAAAGAAUUAGAAAAUAUAUAUACUUUUACUUUUAGAAAUUAAAUUGACUUUUGAUGCUUAAGUAUAUUUGAAAACCAAGAACUGUUAGACUUUUAAUCAAGUAGUAUGUUAUACUUUUAUUUAAGUAAUUUUCUUUUGAGGUAUAUUUACUUUUACGCAAGUAGGACAAUUGGGGACUUUUUCCAUCACUGCUCCUAGGUCACGCGGAAAUGGCGUAACAGGAUAAAUAAAAGUAAACAUUAUGAUGGUGGAAUACACCAUCGUGGAAACAGGUGCUGCACGACUGAAAUUCCCGGUUUGGAAUUUUGGAGUCAUUGUGGACAACAACCGUGAAAGUGCAAACAGUUCCCUCGCCAACAGCAGUGGCUUUAAGUGGCCGUUUGUAGCAGACACCAGGCGAUGCUGGUGAUUGGAGGAGAUAGCUGGAGUCAGAGUGCAUUGGCUGAGUCUGGUCUGGCAGGAGUCAGAUAUUGGACAGAGAGGAGGAGGUAUGGAUAAUACAGCUUGGCUGGGGCAGGAGGCACCUGGGCAGCCUGCAACAAACGUGGCUGAAAUCUUUGAUGAGACUACUCCAUAACCCAGGCCUGUCCUGAGUGAAUUCCUCUGUGUUAUCUCAAACUGAAUAAGGGGGGAAGAAAUAAAGGAUAUUUCUAUCAGACUGGGCUGGGCUAAAGAGAGUCGCUAUUCUGCUUGUGCUGGCGUUAUCUAUUCUGACCCUGCUCCCUGCCUCCAGAUAAGAGCAAGCUCACUGUAAGAGCAAGC